rnacentral:rRNA from 1 species
GGCUACUACCCUCAACUAAAUUUCAUUGGUUCUCCAAUGCAAAGGCAGUUGGAACUGGCCGUCCGGUUUGCCCGUUGGGUAGCCGGUCAGCUGAAAUACAAUCACGCUUGGUGGGCUCCUUUCCAUUCGGAAAGGCGAGUUCCGAUUUGGUAGGUGACCUUUGCCGGUUGCAUGCCUUCGUUGCUCGCUAUGCCUAUCAUCGGCCGUGUGCAGGACGCCUUUUGGCUU